rnacentral:rRNA from 1 species
UGGCAAGUCGAACGGAAGACGUUGUAAAUGGAUAGUUGAAACGGAACAGAGAACUGUUCAAGGGAAUGGAGAUUGACUUACAACGAAUGGCUUAGUGGCGGACUGGUGAGUAAUGUAUAAGCAACCUGCCUAUUAGAGGGGAACAACAGUUAGAAAUGACUGCUAAUACCGCAUAUGCCAUAAGGGAGACAUCUUCCAAGUGGGAAAGGAGAAAUCCGCUAAUAGAUGGGCUUAUAUCUGAUUAGUUAGUUGGUGGGGUAACGGCCUACCAAGACGACGAUCAGUAGCCGAACUGAGAGGUUAAACGGCCACAUUGGGACUGAGAUAUGGCCCAGACUCCUACGGGAGGCAGCAGUCGGGAAUAUUGCGCAAUGGAGGAAACUCUGACGCAGUGACGCCGCGUGCAGGAAGAAGGUUUUCGGAUUGUAAACUGCUUUAGACAGGGAAGAAAAAAGACAGUACCUGUAGAAUAAGCUCCGGCUAACUACGUGCCAGCCGCCGC